rnacentral:rRNA from 1 species
AUUGAACGCUGGCGGCAGGCCUAACACAUGCAAGUCGAGCGGAAGAAGGGGGCUUGCUCCUGGAUUCAGGGGCGGACGGGUGAGUAAUGGCUAGGAAUCUCGCUGGUAGUGGGGGCUAACGUCCGGAAAAGGGCGCUAAUACCGCAUACGUCCUGAGGUAGAAAGGGGGGGAGCUUCGGAUCUUAGGCUAUCAGAUGAUCCUAGGUCGGAUUAGCUAGUUGGUGGGGUAAAGGGCUACCAAGGCGACGAUCCGUAACUGGUCUGAGAGGAUGAUCGGGCACACUGGAACUGAGACACGGUCCAGACUCCUACGGGAGGCAGCAGUGGGGAAUAUUGGACAAUGGGCGAAAGCCUGAUCCAGCCAUGCCGCGUGUGUGAAGAAGGUCUUCGGAUUGUAAAGCACUUUUAGUUGGGAGGAAGGGCAGUAAGUUAAUACCUUGCUGUUUUGACGGUACCAACAGAAUAAGCACCGGCUAACUUCGUG